rnacentral:rRNA from 1 species
ACGAACGCUGGCGGCAGGCCUAACACAUGCAAGUCGAGCGAACCUUCGGGUUAGCGGCGGACGGGUGAGUAACGCGUGGGAACGUACCCUCUUCUGCGGGAUAGCCACUGGAAACGGUGAGUAAUACCGCAUACGCCCUUUGGGGGAAAGAUUUAUCGGAGGAGGAUCGGCCCGCGUUGGAUUAGGUAGUUGGUGGGGUAAUGGCCUACCAAGCCUACGAUCCAUAGCUGGUUUUAGAGGAUGAUCAGCCACACUGGGACUGAGACACGGCCCAGACUCCUACGGGAGGCAGCAGUGGGGAAUCUUAGACAAUGGGCGCAAGCCUGAUCUAGCCAUGCCGCGUGAGUGACGAAGGCCUUAGGGUCGUAAAGCUCUUUCGCCAAAAAUGAUAAUGACAGUAUCUGGUAAAGAAACCCCGGCUAACUCCGUGCCAGCAGCCGCGGUAAUACGGAGGGGGUUAGCGUUGUUCGGAAUUACUGGGCGUAAAGCCCACGUAGGCGGAUUGGAAAGUUGGGGGUGAAAUCCCAGGGCUCAACCCUAGAGCGGCCUCCA